rnacentral:rRNA from 1 species
UCGCCUGUUUAACAAAAACAUCGCUCCCUGUUUAAUUAUAUAUAGGGAGUUGUUUCUGCUCAAUGAUGUACGCAUUAAAUAGCAGCGGUAUAAGUGACCGUUCAAAGGUAGUGUAAUUUCUAGUCUAUUAAUUGUAGGCCAAUGAAUGGAUUGUCAGGUUAAGCUUGUCUCGGUUAUGUACGUAGAAUUUAACUUUUAGGUGAAGAGGCCUAAAUAUUUUGAGGGGACGAGAAGACCCUGUCAAACUUUAGUUAAAUUUUGUUAAUAGCAAUAAUUAAACAAGUUUUGAUUUGAGUUGGGGCAACUG